GCAAGGAAGUCUACAUCACUUUUGCUCGCAUUGCCAUUUGCCAGAAGUUCAAGGGAGUCUGGGCAGCACAGGGAACACACAGGUAGUUGGUGCACCCUUACACCUUCUAACCACAGUAUGUUCAUCCAUGCAACAAAUGUCAACUCGGUUCCUCGUAGCCAAGCUGACUCCAAGAGGCUGAGAUGACUUCACCUCAGGUGGUUUACAGCAGGGAGAGAAAGGAGGAUCAUCUCGAUGGUAGAGCACGAGAUGGAGGGGAGAGAAGACACCAAGACACACGGACCUGUUGGGAGGCUCUGGCAACCAUACCAUGUGGCUGAUAUUAUUUGCUCACAAUUGUUCCUGGCCUCCUCACAUUGCCGUGGCUUCCCUGUGGACGGGGCGUAGUUCUUGCUCGCCCACUGACCUGCUUUGGUCCUGGGUGCAUGAGUUGAGUUAACAUAUGCUCCAUCCAACCAGAAGCUCCAAGUAUGUGAAUGGCUGGGGCAACCCUCUUGGCUCCCACCCUGCAUCCUGAGAAGGCAAGCCCCAGGGAUAUCAGUGGCCUGGGAAUGAGAGAGUGGAAGAGCAAACUGAACCUGACCCACAUUUCGGGGCUAAGCUUCCCCAGCUGACCACAGA